CGAGAAAUUUGGAGAAGAAGAAGAAGAAGAGGAUUU
rnacentral:sRNA from 1 species